UUUGCUUGAAAAACAUGGCUACCAAGGGGGGGGGGCAUUUUUAUGUCCCCCACUAUAGUAGUGGGGGACAUAUUGUUUUUGCCCUGUCUGUUGGUCUUGUCUGUUGGUCUGUCUGUUUGCGCCAACUUUAACAUUUUGCAAUAACUUUUGCUAUAUUGAAGAUAGCAACUUCAUAUUUGGCAUGCAUGUGUAUCUCAUGAAGCUGCACAUUUUGAGUGGUGAAAGGUCAAGGUCAAGGUAAUCCUUCAAGGUCAGAGGUCAAAUAUAUGUGGCCAAAAUCGCUCAUUUUAUGAAUACUUUUGCAAUAUUGAAGAUAGCAACUUGAUAUUUGGCAUGCAUGUGUAUCUCAUGGAGCUGCACAUUUUGAGUGGUGAAAGGUCAAGGUCAUCCUUCAAGGUCAGAGGUCAAUUAUAUGUGGCCAAAAUUGCUCAUUUUAUGAAUACUUUUGCAAUAUUGAAGAUAGCAACUUGAUAUUUGGCAUGCAUGUGCAUCUCAUGGAGCUGCUCAUUUUGAGUGGUGAAAGGUCAAGGUCAAGGUCAUCCUUCAAGGUCAGAGGUCAAAUAUAUGUGGCCCAAAUCGCUUAUUUUAUUAAUACUUUUGCAAUAUUGAAGAUAGCAACUUGAUAUUUGGCAUGCAUGUGUAUCUCAUGGAGCUGCACAUUUUGAGUGGUGAAAGGUCAAGGUCAUCCUUCAAGGUCAGAGGUCAAAUAUAUGGGGCCCAAAUGGCUUAUUUUAUAAAUACUUUUGCAAUAUUGAAGAUAGCAACUUGAUAUUUGGCAUGCAUGUGCAUCUCAUGGAGCUUCACAUUUUGAGUGGUGAAAGGUCAAGGUCAUCCUUUAAGGUCAGAGGUCAAAUAUAUGUGGCCCAAAUCGCUUAUUUUAUGAAUACUUUUGCAAUAUUGAAGAUAGCAACUUGAUAUUUGGCAUGCAUGUGUAUCUCAUGGAGCUGCACAUUUUGAGUGGUGAAAGGUCAAGGUCAUCCUUCACAAUGUCAAGGUCAUCCUACAAGGUCAAACAUCAUAUAGGGGGACAUUGUGUUUCACAAACACAUCUU